AUUGAACGCUGGCGGCAGGCCUAACACAUGCAAGUCGAACGAGUGGCGGACGGGUGAGUAAUGUCUGGGAAACUGCCUGAUGGAGGGGGAUAACUACUGGAAACGGUAGCUAAUACCGCAUACCAUCAGAUGUUCCCAGAUGGGAUUAGCUAGUUGGUGGGGUAAAGGCUCACCAAGGCGACGAUCCCUAGCUGGUCUGAGAGGAUGACCAGCCACACUGGAAUUGAGAAACGGCCCAGACUCUUACGGGAGGAAGCAGUGGGGAACAUUGCACAAUGGGCGAAAGCCUGAUGCAGCACUGCCGCGUGGAUGAAGAAGGCCUUCGGGUUGUAAAGUACUUUCAGCGGGGAGGCGUUACCCGCAGAAGAAGCACCGGCUAACUCCGUGCCAGCAGCCGCGGUAAUUC
rnacentral:rRNA from 1 species